rnacentral:rRNA from 1 species
AACGAACGCUGGCGGCAUGCCUAACACAUGCAAGUCGAACGAGACCUUCGGGUCUAGUGGCGCACGGGUGCGUAACGCGUGGGAACCUGCCCUUAAGUUCGGAAUAACUCCCCGAAAGGGGUGCUAAUACCGGAUAAUGUCUUCGGACCAAAGAUUUAUCGCCUUUGGAUGGGUCCGCGUUGGAUUAGCUAGUUGGUAGGGUAAAAGCCUACCAAGGCGACGAUCCAUAGCUGGUCUGAGAGGAUGAUCAGCCACACUGGGACUGAGACACGGCCCAGACUCCUACGGGAGGCAGCAGUGGGGAAUAUUGGACAAUGGGCGAAAGCCUGAUCCAGCAAUGCCGCGUGAGUGAUGAAGGCCUUAGGGUUGUAAAGCUCUUUUACCCGGGAUGAUAAUGACAGUACCGGGAGAAUAAGCUCCGGCUAACUCCGUG